UGUGCAUGUGUGGGUGUGGUAUGUGUGUGUGUGUGCAUGCAUGUCUGUGUGUGUGUGCAUGCCUGUGUGUGCGCAUGAAUGUAUGGGGUAUGUAUGUGUGGGUGCAUGCAUUGCACAUGUAUGAACUGUGUUUCCAACGCUUUAAUGUCAGGGCUUUGCUGACCGUGGAGAGACUGCCCCUCUGGGGCCAGCCACUUCCUAGAGAUCACAAACACUUGCCUUUGGUUGCCUUUCAAAUGAAACCCCCAACCCACCCCCAGCUGUCUCCUCUGUGUGCUCCCAGGCUCGGGCCCACAUCCCCUGCACAAAUCACGGCCUGACCCCAGACGCCCAGGGUGGGCCUAUAUCCCCACAGGCCAGCCUCCAGCGUGCUCACCCGGCUUUCCCCACCUUUCCCGAGGAAGCCUCUGCCAAGGCUCUGCCCGUGUUUCCCCAUCACGUCAUCUGUCUCUGAGACCGUGGUGUUCCCCUGCGUGGUGUGGCAUGCCCCUCCUCCUGUUGGGAACUGUAACAAAUGGUCUCAUCAAUGGCAGGCGUCUCCUGAUCUCACUCACCUGCGUGAUAAGAAAACCUACAUUUUAAAGCAAGAGGUGUCUCCUGAAUCAUGUAGAUCUCUUGGGCCUGCUGUCCAGCUUCCCAUGGGGGCCUCUGAGAGCAGCUGCCGAAUCACAGUCCUUAGUAGAAGCUGCCUCGGUCCCAAGGAGGCUGCCCCGUGCCCUGACCAGAUAGUGGGAGGAAGCCCCCUGCCAGGGCAACUGGCAGUUCUCCAGGCCUCAUCCACUUGCCUGCCACACUGAGGGACCCAGCUUAGCAGCUGCCUUUUCUCUGGGAAGGUCAGCGCUGGAGAGUCUCGGGGGCUCCAGGCUGUGCUAGGUCUGACCACCGUGGCUUUGAAGGAGACAGAGAUGCUUAGGAUUAAACAGACCACUCUCCCCGCCAGGCCAGAGUUGGGACGGGGGAUGACAGCGCUGAUCAGAGAACCCAGAGGAACCCUGUGUACACAGCAGCUGCAGGCUCCUAAAGGGUCGGGGGAGGGAUCGUGCUCUCCCUGCCGUGGGGAAGCUGAUUCUGCCAGGGCCGGUUCCACUCCAGGCUCCAGAGGCAGAGGGGUGAAGCUGCACCAGGACCAGCCCCGCUGGCACACUUAGGUUCCUCUGUGCCUCAUCCUCUGCUUUGGAUUUGCCUCCACCACCACUGCAGGACCAAAGAAAUCCUGUGUGGGGCCUCGGUGCAGAGUCCGCAUGGAAGAAACGGUUACCACAUACUCCUAAAUGGGCCAAAACACGGUGGGAACUUGCCGGGCCCAUCUCUCUGGGUCGCCCAGGCUGCACCUUUAUGCCUUAAAAUCAGCUGUUUCCCUCAUGACUAAUUCAGGAGGAGAAGAACUUUCGUAUCCAUUUUCUCAUUUUCUUCCCUCAACAAGCGCGUGCAUGGUCCUUGCCUUGCCUUGGAGCUGCAAGGAAGCUGAGGCCAGAGAGGUGGCCCUGCUGGCCUCAGGUCAGGUCACCUGGCUUAGGAGGAACAAGCACUAGUGGAGGUCCGAGGGGCCCAGCCUGUGAGCCCAGGGAGCACAGUCCAGGGAGUGGGAGCCCAGCAGGGCAGGAGCCCAGGGAGCACAGUCCAAGGAGUGGGAGCCUGGGGAGCACAGUCCGGGGAGCACAGCCCAAGGAGUGGGCAUUUAAAACGAAACUGCCCGCCCAGCUGUCAGCUCUGGUCUCAGCAGCCGGGAGGCUGUGGUCAAAGAACAAGGGAUCUGUCCACGUGUGUGGGUCCCUGAGGGCCGGCCUCACCUUUGGGGGUAGAACUGGGCCAGGAGGGUUUCCGUGAUACAACCACAGCAUGGAAGCUGAAGAUCUUCUCAUACUUACAGACCUUGGCGGGUACGUUGCAGGCCUGGUGCCUACAAGCACUUGGAGGUUGGGGGCACAAACAGGGAGUGCAGGGACCCUGGGGCCAACACGUUUGUUGGAUCCAGAGGAGCUCUGCUUGUUUUUAGAAGGUGCAACUCACAUGGUAUAGAGAGGAGCACAGUGACCCCCCACAAGCACCCGGGUCCAGCCUCACCAGGAACCGACGCGGCGCAAUCCUGUUUCAGCCACAAACUUUGCCCGCCUCCCGCCGUGCCCUGGGUAUCCGACAUGAAUUCCAGAGAGUGUGUUGUUUUAUCCAUCGAUAGUUUAGUGUGUAUCUUUAAAAACGAGGACUGUCUUCGUAGCCACCACCACGGUAUUUUCCACACCGGGAACAAUGGUCUUUACGAUCCCGUCACACUGCGCCAGGCUCGUGUUCUUCCAGUGCCUGUGACUGUCUUCUGAUGGCUUCUCUGAGUCAGGAUCUGGAUGAGUCUCUGCAGUGAGGUGGGCCCAUGACCACCAGUCACCCUGUGGGCCCUGUCCUUGCUGUUUACUUGCUGAGGGCCCAGGUGGCUCUGUGGUUCCGUAUCCUGAGCAUCCCGUCUGCUUCUGCUGCCCACGUCACCUGGAGACCCGGGCACUAUCCCUUCGUCCUGCCUUCUCCUUCCUUCCAGAAAUAACCCUUCCCCCCAGGCCUCCCCAGCAGCUCAGGAGAGCCACAGACUUGAGGCAGCCAGAGGUGCGAGAAGAGGUGGUCCCUGACUGACAGGAACGGAUGGCAGCCACACCUGCCCCGGCCACCUACCAAGCAGGUAGGGGAGAGCCAUGACAUGAAGGGGCCAGAAGCUCAGAAGGGGCCAUACAGAACACGGAGUGCAGAGUGUGGAGGGUGAAACCCUUUGGACUCACAGCUCUGCAGAAACAGGCGAGAGGGAGCUCUGGCUGGGAGUGAAGGAGCACCCAGAGUCCCCCCAAGAAUUCAUAGAGACCUCAUCUAGCAGCA